CNACCUGCCCAUCACUUGGGGAUAACCUUGCGAAAGUAAGACUAAUACCCAAUGAUAUCUCAAGAAGACAUCUGAAUGAGAUUAAAGAUUUAUCGGUGAUGGAUGGGGAUGCGUCUGAUUAGCUUGUUGGCGGGGUAACGGCCCACCAAGGCGACGAUCAGUAGGGGUUCUGAGAGGAAGGUCCCCCACAUUGGAACUGAGACACGGUCCAAACUCCUACGGGAGGCAGCAGUGAGGAAUAUUGGUCAAUGGGCGAGAGCCUGAACCAGCCAAGUAGCGUGCAGGAUGACGGCCCUAUGGGUUGUAAACUGCUUUUAUAAGGGAAUAAAGUGAGCCUCGUGAGGCUUUUUGCAUGUACCUUAUGAAUAAGGACCGGCUAAUUCCGUGCCAGCAGCCGCGGUAGUACGGAAGGUCCGGGCGUUAUCCGGAUUUAUUGGGUUUAAAGGGAGCGUAGGCCGGAGAUUAAGCGUGUUGUGAAAUGUAGAUGCUCAACAUCUGCACUGCAGCGCGAACUGGUUUCCUUGAGUACGCACAAAGUGGGCGGAAUUCGUGGUGUAGCGGUGAAAUGCUUAGAUAUCACGAAGAACUCCGAUUG
rnacentral:rRNA from 1 species